UCACAAGUCUUCAUCAUAUCAUUCUUAACAAAUUGUUUUUGGGUUCCUUUUGUCGACCUGUUCUCAAGAUCAACCAGCUAUUGUUCUAUGCCAUUGUCUUUUGCAAUUGUGUUGCAGGGAGGAGUUACCACUUUGAAAACCACAAACCAACCACCCUUCUUUAUUUACAAUUCAAAACAAAACAUGUUAGAAUGGACUGAGUCGGUCCUUAUUAUUAAUAACAUCUUUUUCCCUUUUUUUUCUUUUUUUUUUUCAUUUCAUUUUUUUGUGGUCGAAUCUUAUAGAGAUUGCCCACGUAUCAUGACCCCGCAUGAAUUUAGACCUUGCGUAGUUCGGACCAAUAAAAGAUAAACAACAAUAAAAUAUUUUUUGGAAAUUUUAAAUCUUCAUGAUAAAACAAACUGGGUUUCAAAGGUUUAAAGAUGAC
rnacentral:lncRNA from 1 species